AUUGAACGCUGGCGGCAGGCCUAACACAUGCAAGUCGAACGAGUGGCGGACGGGUGAGUAAUGUCUGGGAAACUGCCUGAUGGAGGGGGAUAACUACUGGAAACGGUAGCUAAUACCGCAUACCAUCAGAUGUGCCCAGAUGGGAUUAGCGCGUUGGUGGGGUAACGGCUCACCAAGGCGACGAUCCCUAGCUGGUCUGAGAGGAUGACGAGCCACACUGGAACUGAGACACGGUCCGUACUCCUACGGGAGGCAGCAGUGGGGAAUAUUGCAAAAGGGGCGCAAGCCUGAUGCAGCCAUGCCGCGGGUAUGAAGAAGGCCUUCGGGUUGUAAAGUACUUUCAGCGGGGAGGCGUUACCCGAAGAAGAAGCACCGGCUAACUCCGUGCCAGCAGCCGCGGUAAUUC
rnacentral:rRNA from 1 species